CCUUUGUACACACCGCCCGUCGCUACUACCGAUUGAAUGGCUUAGUGAGGAGUUCGGAGAGCCUAUGAGGAGCUGGAAACAGCACUUCACUGGUUCAAAGUUCUACAAACUUGGUCAUUUAGAGG
rnacentral:rRNA from 1 species